AAACCAACCGGGAUUGCCUUAGUAACGGCGAGUGAAGCGGCAAAAGCUCAAAUUUGAAAUCUGGUACCUUCGGUGCCCGAGUUGUAAUUUGUAGAAGGUAACUUUGGGGCUGGUCCUUGUCUAUGUUCCUUGGAACAGGACGUCAUAGAGGGUGAGAAUCCCGUGUGGCGAGGAUCCCAGUUCUUUGUAAAGUGCUUUCGAAGAGUCGAGUUGUUUGGGAAUGCAGCUCUAAGUGGGUGGUAAUUCCAUCUAAAGCUAAAUAUUGGCGAGAGACCGAUAGCGAACAAGUACAGUGAUGGAAAGAUGAAAAGAACUUUGAAAAGAGAGUGAAAAAGUACGUGAAAUUGUUGAAAGGGAAGGGCAUUUGAUCAGACAUGGUGUUUUGCGCCCUCUGCUCCUUGUGGGUGGGGGAAUCUCGCAGCUCACUGGGCCAGCAUCAGUUUUGGCGGCAGGAUAAAUCUGCAGGAAUGUAGCUUGCCUCGGUAAGUGUUAUAUCCUGUAGAAAUACUGCCAGCUGGGACUGAGGACUGCGACUUUACGUCAAGGAUGCUGGCAUAAUGGUUAUAUGCCGCCCGUCUUGAANNNACGGACCA
rnacentral:rRNA from 1 species